rnacentral:rRNA from 1 species
GUGCCAGUCGAACGAUGAACCUCACUUGUGGGGGGAUUAGUGGCGAACGGGUGAGUAACACGUGAGUAACCUGCCCUUGACUCUGGGAUAAGCCUGGGAAACCGGGUCUAAUACUGGAUACGACCUUCUGGCGCAUGCCAUGUUGGUGGAAAGCUUUUGUGGUUUUGGAUGGACUCGCGGCCUAUCAGCUUGUUGGUGGGGUAAUGGCCUACCAAGGCGACGACGGGUAGCCGGCCUGAGAGGGUGACCGGCCACACUGGGACUGAGACACGGCCCAGACUCCUACGGGAGGCAGCAGUGGGGAAUAUUGCACAAUGGGCGCAAGCCUGAUGCAGCGACGCCGCGUGAGGGAUGAAGGCCUUCGGGUUGUAAACCUCUUUCACUACGCC